UAGGGAAUCUUUGGCAAUGGACGAAAGUCUGACCGAGCAACGCCGCGAGAGUGAAGAAGGUUUUCGGAUCGUAAAACUCUGUUGUUAGAGAAGAACAAGGACGUUAGUAACUGAACGUCCCCUGACGGUAUCUAACCAGAAAGCCACGGCUAACUACGUGCCAGCAGCCGCGGUAAUACGUAGGUGGCAAGCGUUGUCCGGAUUUAUUGGGCGUAAAGCGAGCGCAGGCGGUUUCUUAAGUCUGAUGUGAAAGCCCCCGGCUCAACCGGGGAGGGUCAUUGGAAACUGGGAGACUUGAGUGCAGAAGAGGAGAGUGGAAUUCCAUGUGUAGCGGUGAAAUGCGUAGAUAUAUGGAGGAACACCAGUGGCGAAGGCGGCUCUCUGGUCUGUAACUGACGCUGAGGCUAGAAAGCGUGGGGAGCAAACAGG
rnacentral:rRNA from 1 species